GCAGGGCUCAAACUCACGAACCAUGGGAUUGUGACGUGAGCGGAAGUCGGACACUCAACCGACUGAGCCCCCCAGGUGUCCCUACUUUUUCCUUCAAAUGAUAGGCCAUAUUUACCUAUUUCUUGGUAUACCUUGUGACUUUUUGUUGAACACUGGACAUGUGAAUCCAGUUGUGUGGUAACUCUGGGAAUUGGAUUCUCCCACUUCCCCAGGGUUUGCUGUGUUUUGUUAUUGCUUUUGCUUUAUUGUAAGCUGUCUCUGUAGUGAGGAUCCCCUGAGGUGUAGACUUUGUCUUCUUAGGUCUUUUCUAAACCUUUCCUUGAGCAUGCGCAGCGACUUUCUAAUUUUUCCCAUAUCUGCGGAUAUUUGUGAAUGUGCUAGUCUUUUAAUGUGUGGCUCCUGAAAGGGGAAAAGUGAAAAACGAAGAGGGAACACAAGGGCACCGGCCCUUUGAAUCACCUGGAAGUCACUUGAACCGGAGUGGGGACAGGCUGGCGACGCUGAGGGGAGGUACCACAAUAACGGCUGCCUGCCUCUCUGCCUUUCUGCGAUCAGAAGCGGCGACCAGAACACGGACCCCUGGUGUUCCGAGGACGGGUGCCUCUCGCCCACCCUGACUGCUGUACGUUGCGUGCAGCCGCAUCAGGGGGUGGGGAGCCGCUACUGUGCAAAGCGCCGAAACCGCCCAGAACCGGUCAGUUUUGACUCUCCAAGCCUUCCCCUGGAAGUUGCAAGCCCUCGGCAAACCCGCCUUCCGAAACUGGCGCCUCGGUGUGGAGCCGGGGGCUUUCCUGCCUCUUCCCGGAAUCCUCCCUGAUGGGUCAUGUACGUUUCUGAUUUGGGGUCAGAAACCUCGCGUGCGCGGGCACAGGUUCAUCUGCGCAAUACUCGGGAGCCCUGGGUGGCCGAGGCGUCUCAGCCAGCGGGUCCGGUUCGUCGCGGCCCAGACACCAGGUGGACAGGUGGCCAAGGCCGCGUUUCCCCACGUGCUGGCGAUGUCGGGCGGUGUCCGUUUCAUCCGCCGUUUGGAGUUAUGUCUUCAAGUGGCUGUUGAAGUUUUCCUGCCCUUCUGAAGUUUUCUGUAUUUUUCGUAGUGACUUGUUUGCCUCGUAAAUGUUAGCCGCAAGUCCCUUAAUAGUUACGGGUUCAAAGUGUCAUCCGCCGCCGUUUUCUCAGGCUCCGGUAUCUUUUGAUGUUUGCCAUUUGUUUUAAACAUGUAUGUGGUGCUACUCUGUGCCAGGCAAUGCUCAGGGUGCUUUACAAAUACCUUAUUUUGACGAACAUGAGUUCUUAAUGUGCUCAACUUCAUCAGCAUUUCCUUUGAUGUUAAUUUGUGUGUAUGUAGGUGAUUUAAGAAAAUUUUCUGACUGUGGGGGAGGCCUUUAAGAUACUUUUUUUCUUCUUGUGGUAAAAUAUACUUACAGAUGGUUAAGUGGUAAA